rfam:Capsicum annuum cultivar Zunla-1 chromosome 6, whole genome shotgun sequence
ACGACCUUACUUGAACAGGAUCUGUUCUAUAGGUUCGUACCACUGUAUCCUUGAUUCCUAAGGAGACAGAAAACCAAGUCUGGUUGAUGACUCAUGGCCAUGAGACUAGAGCGUGAUUAACAGUCACCCGUGGCUCUUCUAGUUGUGUGGUCCAGUAGAUGAUCGUUCUCAGACCUGUUGUUGAGGUCUGAGAUGGUUUCAUGGCUGUCUGACAGACU